rnacentral:rRNA from 1 species
UCGCCCGGGAGAGCGAGCAAAGCUUAAAACCCAAAGGACUUGACGGUACCCCACAUCCACCUAGAGGAGCCUGUCCUACAAUCGAUAACCCCCGUUUAACCUCACCAUUUUUAGCCUAUCAGCUUGUAUACCUCCGUCGUCAGCUUACCACGUGAGCGAUCCCCAGUGAGCUUAAUGCCCAUACACCAACACGUCAGGUCAAGGUGCAGCAAAUAAAAUGGGAAGAGAUGGGCUACACUCUCUAUUCUAGAAAAUACGGAAGACUAUUUAUGAAACCUAGUCAGAAGGCGGAUUUAGUAGUAAAAAGAGACAAGAGUGCUCUUUUUAACAUGGCACUGGGGUGUGUACACACCGCCCGUCACCCUCUUCAAAGCUAAUAUAAAGUCCCUAACACACUAAAGCACCACAGAAGAGGCAAGUCGUAACAUGGUAAGUAUACCGGAAGGUGUGCUUGGAAA